rnacentral:misc_RNA from 1 species
GUGAAUCAUCGAAUUUUUGAACGCAAAUUGCACUCUCUUCGGAGAGUAUGCCUGUUUGAGGGUGAGUAUUAAUAAAAAUUGGUGUGUUGCUUCUUUGCGACGCUCCGGAGUUUGGGUCAUCUUAAUAUUCUUUAGGUUUUAAGAGGUUUAAAAUUGACUUUUUUUGAGGAUUUUAGAUGUUCAUAAAUUAUUUUUUUUAUUCGUCUGUUUUCAUGCUUAAAAUCCUAUUAGAUGUGAAUAUUUAGUGUGGUUUAGUG